rnacentral:rRNA from 1 species
GACGAACGCUGGCGGCGUGCUUAACACAUGCAAGUCGAACGGUAAGGCUCCAGCUUGCUGGGGUACACGAGUGGCGAACGGGUGAGUAACACGUGGGUGACCUGCCCUGCACUUCGGGAUAAGCCUGGGAAACUGGGUCUAAUACCGGAUAGGACCGCACCGUGAGGGUGUGGUGGAAAGUUUUUUCGGUGUGGGAUGGGCCCGCGGCCUAUCAGCUUGUUGGUGGGGUAAUGGCCUACCAAGGCGGCGACGGGUAGCCGGCCUGAGAGGGUGGACGGCCACAUUGGGACUGAGACACGGCCCAGACUCCUACGGGAGGCAGCAGUGGGGAAUAUUGCACAAUGGGCGGAAGCCUGAUGCAGCGACGCCGCGUGGGGGAUGACGGCCUCCGGGUUGUAAACUCCUUUCACCAUCGACGAAGGGUUUCUGACGGUAGAUGGAGAAGAAGCACCGGCUAACUACGUGCCAGCAGCCGCGGUAAUACGUAGGGUGCGAGCGUUGUCCGGAAUUACUGGGCGUAAAGAGCUCGUAGGUGGUUUGUCGCGUCGUCUGUGAAAUUCCGGGGCUUAACUCCGGGCGUGCAGGCGAUACGGGCAUAACUUGAGUACUGUAGGGGAGACUGGAAUUCCUGGUGUAGCGGUGAAAUGCGCAGAUAUCAGGAGGAACACCGGUGGCGAAGGCGGGUCUCUGGGCAGUAACUGACGCUGAGGAGCGAAAGCAUGGGGAGCGAACAGGAUUAGAUACCCUGGUAGUCCAUGCCGUAAACGGUGGGCGCUAGGUGUGGGUUUCCUUCCACGGGAUCCGUGCCGUAGCUAACGCAUUAAGCGCCCCGCCUGGGGAGUACGGCCGCAAGGCUAAAACUCAAAGGAAUUGACGGGGGCCCGCACAAGCGGCGGAGCAUGUGGAUUAAUUCGAUGCAACGCGAAGAACCUUACCUGGGCUUGACAUAUACAGGAUCGCGCCAGAGAUGGUGUUUCCCUUGUGGCUUGUAUACAGGUGGUGCAUGGUUGUCGUCAGCUCGUGUCGUGAGAUGUUGGGUUAAGUCCCGCAACGAGCGCAACCCUUGUCUUAUGUUGCCAGCACGUUGUGGUGGGGACUCGUAAGAAACUGCCGGGGUUAACUCGGAGGAAGGUGGGGAUGACGUCAAAUCAUCAUGCCCCUUAUGUCCAGGGCUUCACACAUGCUACAAUGGUCGGUACAGUGGGUUGCCAGUCCGUGAGGGCGAGCUAAUCCCGCAAAGCCGGUCUCAGUUCGGAUCGGGGUCUGCAACUCGACCCCGUGAAGUCGGAGUCGCUAGUAAUCGCAGAUCAGCAACGCUGCGGUGAAUACGUUCCCGGGCCU